GCUUGCCUUCUGCUUCCGGUUUCGGAUCAGUUCUUCGAUGUCAACGUCAUCUUUUUCUUGGCGAAAUUGCAGUCGUAAGGCAGCACAUAAAGUAUCCCAUUGAACUUCAACUACUGCCUUGUGAUGUCGCCAGUAGAACUCGUUAGCUUUUCCUUCAAACAAAACACUCACAUUCCGGCAAAGCACGGAAAAAUUUCCUUCCAAAGUUUGAUGGGUCAAUGCCUCUACUCUAUAUAUGAAGUUAUCUAUCGAUACCCCGACUCCCGAGAACUUAAUUUUCCAUCCAUUGAGUAUAUGGACCACUUUGUCCGGUCUCUGGGAUAAAUCAGAGAAACCGCUUCGCAAUGGUGACGGAUGACCUAUGCUUUGGGGUGCUUGUCUAUGGCCAGGACCAGUUCCCUCUCCAUAGUUAGUUGCUUGCAACUGCUCGGACAACGGCGUUGGAGAACGGUCUAACGCUGCGGUGACAGUGGACUGACUUGAGGUUCGGGUUACCUGUUGCAUUGAAUCAACUACCGAGCUUUGAAUCAGCUCUGCCAUUCGUUUACUUAGCGAAGCGAGCAAUCUCUGUUCCAUUGCCAACAGAUCUAUAUUUUUAGAAGAACUCGCUUCUUCUCCCCCUUUUGCACGUUCCUUGGACUGAGCGCGAGUAUUUUGCGCUACUACCUUCGGCACAGCCCCGCUUGCAGUUCUACACCUGCUUUUACAUACCGGGCAAACAUUGCUAGUCUUUAAAUAUGUGGUCAUACAGGGAAGAUGGAACUCGUGCUCGCAAACCGAUCGGAAUACCUCAUCUGUGGUCUGUAUGGCUUUCUGGCACAGCGCGCACACAGGUCUUACACCUUCACCUGCCCCUUGGGCUUCCUUUCCGGGAGAUCUGUCCAAACCCAUGGCAAGAAAAUGCUACUUAUCUCGGUUGUUUCCUAUCAUCUAUGUAGUAUGGGAUUGGUUUGGCAAUACUACUCUGAAAGUCGUGACUAUAAUUCGUCCUAACUUUGUUUUAUUCAACUAAAAUUUCGAUACUAAGUUUUGAUACCAAUAAUGAACUCUAUGACCGACGCUCGCGCACCACAAUCUACAUUCUACUCUUUUUCGAUAUCUCCUUUGAAAGGUUUACGUUUAGUUCGAACGCGACUCGCAUCUACGGAUCGACACUGAUUCCGACACUUCCGACAGCUAACUCUGAGACCACCGUCAGUAAUUCUGGAAUAAAUCUCUUCUCUCCAUCGUGGAUAGAGUAACGCUCGAAAGCAGAAUAUCUAUGUUCCAAUGCGCUGGAGUCGAAGAAAACUUUUACUUAAUAGGAUGGUGUGAACACUAACGCGGUAUUUCCCGCAGGGUCAGGCGGUCGACAUUCGUCAUUCUCGCUCUGCAAUUCCACUGAAGGAUUUAGCCUACGUCGCUUCUAGUUAAUUGAGCCUCUUCUUGCUGACUGUCAUCUGGGGUCAGAAAGGAAUAACUCUGCUCCUUUAUCUGGUUUCCACUUCAGAUGACUAGUCCGCAAGGGAUAGCGAAAGCACUUUAACGGAAAAGGAAACUUUUGUAAACGCGGAAAAGAAAAUUUCUAUCUAAUCAUCCACGGGUCCAACCGAGUAUUUGAAUCUACCCUGUCGGGCCCCACGUUGGGCGCCACUUAUGAAAAUUUCUUUAAUCAUUUAAUAAAAUUAUCUUUUUAGUUAUAAUAUUAUUAUAACUGUAACGUGUAACGCUCGUCUACGCUAGACGGACAGGAGGGGCGAUCUGCAAAGGCGGGGCACGCUUUAAAUGUUCCGGCUCUAGCUCGUCGGCUUUGGGGUGGUGGUUCUUGCGCGUACAGAUCGUCUCCCUUUAGCAACACUAUCACGCGAUAAUUUUAACGAUUUAUUUUCCUAAGAAUUGAGCGUGCUGCGACUAUACGGUGCUAGAACUACCGGUAGAUCGACGAAAAGAUAAAAGAAACGCUCCGUAAAGAAUAGGGGAGAGUGCAGAAGAGAAGGAAGGAGAAGAUGAGGGAGAGAGAGAGAGAGGGAAAGUAGAAAGAGAGUGAAGAGUGAGGGAAAGAGGAGGAGAUAUCGGUUGCUAUCCCACGGAUGUCAGUGUGGUAGCUUAUUUUGCCCGCCCAACCUAUGACCAUCUUCCUCGAAACCGGAAGUUUCAGAUGGCCCCUUUAGCUAGAUCGCGGUUACACGCACGCCGGCACAGAGUUCAUCCUUUUGUAUCUUUAUCUAAAUUCCAUUAUAUAUUUGUUCGAUAAACGAUCAAAACUAAUAUAUUCAGCGAAGGCAUAUUUUUCUAAUUCUAGAGAUCUACAGCGAGUAUAUGUAUAUGAGAGAUUCUGAGGCGUAUAUAAAGUGAUAUGAGGUGGGGUUAAUACUUAAGGUGUAUCUUAAGGUUAGCAGGGUAUUCCUGGCACAAAUUCAUUCAAAUUUUCUUUCAAUUCGGUUGCUUGUAUACAACUGGCAAUAUAGGAUAUAGUGAGGAAAGUGUAAGAUUGCUGCUAUGCAUUAGCGAUUUCAUCGUAAAUUCGUUUCUUAUUUACUUUUCGAGAGCUUAGGAUUGGGCGCGCCCGCUAGAACCAAACGAAAGUCGCAGGAUUUUACUCACGCAAUUACGUUUCUCCAUCGGCGAAAGAUCGAUCUUCCGGCAACUGCUGAAAUAGAACGUUAUCCUUUUUCUUUCGUUUACAUUAGUGCUUUCGAGACCUUUGAUUUCCCUCAGGCGGGGUUAGAUCUAAAUCCAAUCAGUUUCUGUUUUGUUUCGGGUGCUUUUUAGAUUUCUUACAAUUUCCUCUAAAUUCUUUCCAAUAUUUCAUAUAAAUUCUUAAUUAGAACGGGUACAACUAGUAUUUAAAGCUAGAUCUUAGGAACUUCAUUUGUUUGUUCAAAGGAACGAUUCUAGAGUCUUAUUCAUGGGUUCGAGUCUCUGUCGGAUUCGACGGAAUGGCCUAACUGAUAUUUAAGCUAAAUUUUAGGAGCUUCAUUUGUUUGCUCAAAGGAGC